rnacentral:rRNA from 1 species
GCCCCCGGGCGCAGGUCCGGCUGGGGAGCGGAACGGCAUGGGAGGGCCGGCCGCAGCGGGUGACAGCCCCGUACGCGAACCCAGACCGGACGGCGCGACGCGGUCCCUGAGUAGGGCCGGGCACGUGAAACCCGGUCCGAACCUGGGUGGACCACCAUCCAAGCCUGAGUACUACCCUGUGACCGAUAGCGCACCAGUACCGUGAGGGAAAGGUGAAAAGCACCCCGGGAGGGGAGUGAAACAGUACCUGAAACCGUGCGCCCACGAGCAGUCGGAGCAACUUUCAGUUGUGACGGCGUGCCUUUUGUAGAAUGAGCCAGCGAGUCGCUGGCGCGGGGCGAGGUUAACCGAAAGGGAGCCGGAGCGAAAGCGAGCCUUAACAGGGCGACUUGAGUCCCGCGCCGCGGACGCGAAGCCGGGUGAGCUAUCCGUGGGCAGGCUGAAGCGGGGGUAAGACCCCGUGGAGGGCCGAACGCACGUCGGUUGAAAACGGCGGCGAUGACCUGCGGAUAGGGGUGAAAGGCCAAUCAAACCCGGAGAUAUCUCGUUCUCCCCGAAAUAGCUUUAGGGCUAGCGUCGCGCGUUCACCGCCGGAGGUAGAGCACCGGAUGGACGAGGGGGCUUCGCCGCCUACCGAAUCCAACCGAACUCCGAAUGCCGGCGGCCCAGAGCGCGGCAGUCAGAGCAUGUGGGCUAAGCUGUGUGCUCGAGAGGGAAACAGCCCGGACCGCCCGCUAAGGUCCCCAAGUUCCAGCCGAGUGGCAAAGGAUGUGCGUCCGCCCAGACAACCAGGAUGUUGGCUUAGAAGCAGCCAUGCAUUCAAAGAGUGCGUAACAGCUCACUGGUCGAGUGGACAUGCGCCGACAAUACACGGGGCUAAGCUGGACACCGAAGCGGCGGGAUUUUAAUUCAUUAGAAUCGGUAGGGGAGCUUCCCAUGGGCGGAGAAGCCGGAGGGCGACCGACGGUGGAGCGCAUGGGAGUGAGAAUGCUGGCAUGAGUAGCGAGAGACGAGAGAGUAACUCGUCCGCCGUGAACCCGAGGUUUCCUGGGCAAGGCUAAUCCUCCCAGGGUCAGUCGGGGGCUAAGGCGAGGCCGGGAGGCGUAGCCGACGCGCAGCAGGCAGACAUUCCUGCACCGCGCACGCGGCGCUACGACCGACGGGGCGACGGAUGGGGGUGGCUCGGCGGGGUUCUGGACGUCCCCGUGAUGGAGCGCGGCCCGCGGACCAGGGAAAUCCGGUCCGCAGAAGGGCGAGGCUCCGGACGAAGCGACUGAGCGAAGCGAGUGAGCCCGAGGUCCCUAGAAAAACCCCUAGGCAGGCGCGUGCGCGCCCGUACCGCAAACCGACACAGGUGGGUGGGUAGAACAUACCGAGGCGAUCGGGUCAACCAUGGUCAAGGAACUCGGCACAAUGGCCCCGUAACUUCGGGAGAAGGGGUGCCCGCGCGUACGUGAACCGGCUUGCCCGGGGAGCGGAGGCGGGCCGCAGUGGAGAGGCCCAAGCGACUGUUUACCAAAAACACAGGACUCUGCAGAAGCCGCAAGGCGACGUAUAGGGUCUGACGCCUGCCCGGUGCCGGAAGGUCACGCGGAGGAGUUAGCCGUUAAGGCGAAGCCCCGAAGCCAAGCCCCGGUAAACGGCGGCCGUAACUAUAACGGUCCUAAGGUAGCGAAAUUCCUUGUCGGGUAAGUUCCGACCUGCACGAAAGGCGCAACGACUUGGGCGCUGUCUCGACCAUGGACCCGGUGAAAUUGCACUGGUCGUGAAGAUGCGACUUACCCGCGGAAGGACGGAAAGACCCCGUGAACCUUCACUGCAGCUUGGCAUUGGCCGCUGGUCCCGCGUGUAGAGGAUAGGCAGGAGGCAUCGAUCCGGAGGCGCCAGCCCCCGGGGAGCCGCCCUUGGAAUACUGCCCUCGCGCGACCGGCGUCCUAACCCGAGGCCGUCAACCGGCUCGGGGACCGUGCCAGGCGGGCAGUUUGACUGGGGCGGUCGCCUCCUAAAGGGUAACGGAGGCGCGCGAAGGUCCGCUCGGGACGGUCGGCAACCGUCCUUUUGAAUGCAAGAGUACAAGCGGGCUUGACUGCGAGGCCCACAAGCCGAGCAGGUGCGAAAGCAGGCUCUAGUGAUCCGGCGGCCCCGAGUGGGUGGGCCGUCGCUCAACGGAUAAAAGGUACUCCGGGGAUAACAGGCUGAUCUUGCCCAAGAGUCCACAUCGACGGCAAGGUUUGGCACCUCGAUGUCGGCUCAUCGCAUCCUGGGGCUGGAGCAGGUCCCAAGGGUACGGCUGUUCGCCGUUUAAAGCGGUACGCGAGCUGGGUUCAGAACGUCGUGAGACAGUUCGGUCCCUAUC